GGGGCUGUAGCGCAAUGGUAGAACAUUUGUCUAGCAUGUAUAAGACCCUGGGUUCAAUCCCCAGUACCACCA
rnacentral:tRNA from 1 species